AGUGAACGCUGGCGGCAGGCCUAAUACAUGCAAGUCGAACGGCCGCAUAGUAAGCUCUUGCUCUUACCGUUGGCGAGUGACGGGCGGGUGAGGAAUACAUCGCCAUCUACUUUUUCUUGGGGGAUUACGUAGGGACGCUUAUGCUACUACCUCAUAUGAUCUACGGGUGAAUGCAGUGGAGCUUCGCAGCUUGCGCGAUUGAAUUAGCCGGUGUCGGAUUAGCUAGUUGGCGUGGUAAAGGCCCACCAAGGCGACGAUGCGUAGCUGGUCUGAGAGGAUGAUCAGCCACACUGGAACUGAGACACGGUCCAGACUCCUACGGGAGGCAGCAGUGGGGAAUAUUGGACAAUGGGCGCAAGCCUGACCGAGCCAUACCGCGUGAGUGAAGAAGGCCUUCGGAUUGUAAAGCUCUGUUAUUAGGAAAGAAAAGCAGUGUAUGAAAACAUGGACGUCCUGACGGUACCCAAUGAAUAAGCAACGGCUAACUUCGUG
rnacentral:rRNA from 1 species